GAUCAUGGCUCAGGAUGAACGCUAGCUACAGGCUUAACACAUGCAAGUCGCGGGGCAGCAUGGAGGUUGCUGCAACCUUGAUGGCGACCGGCGCACGGGUGCGUAACGCGUAUCCAACCUUCCCUUCAGCAGGGCACAGCCCGUUGAAAGACGGAUUAAUUCCCUAUGAUCUCCUUUGCGGGCAUCUGAUGAGGAGUAAAGGCUUUAGCCGCUGAAGGAUGGGGAUGCGUAGGAUUAGGUAGUCGGCGGGGUAACGGCCCACCGAGCCUUCGAUCCUUAGGGGUUCUGAGAGGAAGGUCCCCCACACUGGAACUGAGACACGGUCCAGACUCCUACGGGAGGCAGCAGUGAGGAAUAUUGGUCAAUGGAGGCAACUCUGAACCAGCCAAAAGUAGCGUGCAGGACGACGGCCCUACGGGUUGUAAACUGCUUUUAUGCGGGGAUAAAUUGGGGGACGUGUCCCCUUUUGCAGGUACCGCAUGAAUAAGGACCGGCUAAUUCCGUGCCAGCAGCGGC
rnacentral:rRNA from 1 species